AACGCAUCUUGCGGCCGCCGGUAAUCCGGCGGCCAUGCCCGUUCGAGCGUCGUUUUACCCCUCGAAAGACUUUAUUUAUAAAGUGCUUCGGCAUUGGGCCGGCGAAUGAGGCUUUCUAAAGCACUUCGCAGCCUGCAAAUUAGUGGCAGCGCGUUAGUAAUUCCCCUGUGUAGUACCUUGCUCACAUUGGAUAACUUUGUCGUUAGCAUUAAACCAUAAUCUUUUAGGUCGACCUCGAAUCGGGUAGGGAUACCCGCUAAACUUAA
rnacentral:misc_RNA from 1 species